rnacentral:lncRNA from 1 species
CUCAGGUUGGGGUGGGGCGGAGGCCCUGGCACCCAGCAGGAACAAACCUCCGUCCGCUAAUCCAGAAAAAAAUAAAAACCCCUGCCUCCCCCAACCAAGAUCUCCAGGCUUUUGAUGGGAAACAAGAAAAUCUGAGAGAAAGACUCAGAGGGAGCUACGGAAGUUAAGCCUAGCCCCGGGAAACGAGUUCCUCCUGGGUGUAGACACGCCUUUGCCGAGCUGUGCAGAGUGACCCGCACCAAACGAACACGGCUGCAUCCCAGCCCCUCGGUCCUCAGUCCCCGGCUGGGCCCACGCGCGAGGGGUGUGGGUCCCCUCUACUACAGCCAGUGGCACCGUCAAGACCCCUGCACACGCCCUGGAGUUGGGGACAGCCAAGCACCAGGGACCAAGGUGCCAGCCACGCCAGACCCUGCUAAUGCAGAAAUGGAGAACGAAUCAAGCUGCAAAGCCAGGCCCGCACCCUUUGCUGGGAGAAGGAGCGCUGGGUGCCCUGGAGCUGGGGAAGCCACACAGGCAGGCGCCGAGAGCUGGCACAGCUGCAGCCCAGUGACAGACAGGAAAGUGUCAAGCAAGGCGAAGCCCAAGUGUGAAAACUGCGCCUCGCCUGCUUGCCUGCCUUGCUAGCCCAGGUCCCAGGACACCGACACCGAGG